GAUGAAGAACGUAGCGAAAUGCGAUAAGUAAUGUGAAUUGCAGAAUUCAGUGAAUCAUCGAAUCUUUGAACGCACCUUGCGCCCUUUGGACUUCUGAAGGGCAUGCCUGUUUGAGUAUCAUGAACACCUCAACUCCUUAUGGUCUUCCAUGAUGAGCUUGGACUUUGGGGGUUUUGCUGGCCUACAGUCAGCUCCUCUAAAAUAAAUCAGCUUACCGGUGUUUGGUGGGUAUCAUGGGUGUGAUAACUAUCUACGCUCGUGGUUUUCCACCAGGUAACCUUCAGCAGUGGAGGUUCACUGGAGCUCAUAGAUGUCUCUCCUCAGCGAGGACAGACCUUUGAAUGUUUGAUCUCAAAUCAGGUAGGACUACCCGCUGAACUUAAGCAUAUCAAUAAGCGGAGGA
rnacentral:misc_RNA from 1 species